UACGUAGGGUGCAAGCGUUAUCCGGAAUUAUUGGGCGUAAAGAGCUCGUAGGCGGUUUGUCGCGUCUGCUGUGAAAACCCGAGGCUCAACCUCGGGCCUGCAGUGGGUACGGGCAGACUAGAGUGCGGUAGGGGAGAUUGGAAUUCCUGGUGUAGCGGUGGAAUGCGCAGAUAUCAGGAGGAACACCGGUGGCGAAGGCGGAUCUCUGGGCCAUUACUGACGCUGAGGAGCGAAAGCGUGGGGAGCGAACAGG
rnacentral:rRNA from 1 species